CAAAUCGGGCGGUAAAUUCCGUCCAAGGCUAAAUAUUGGCGAGAGACCGAUAGCAAACAAGUACCGCGAGGGAAAGAUGAAAAGGACUUUGAGAAAAGAGUCAAAGAGUACUUGAAAUUGUCGGGAGGGAAGCGGAUGGGGGCCGGCGGUGCGUCCCGGUCGGAUGUGGAACGGCGAGUAGCCGGUCUGCCGAUCGACUCGGGGCGUGGACCGACGCGGAUUGGGGCGGCGUCGCAAGCCCGAGCCUUUGUUGUGCUCGCGGAGACGUCGUCGCCUCGAUCGUGGCUGGCAGCGCGCGCCCAUGGCGUGCUUCGGCAUCAGCGUGCUCCAGGCGUCGGCCUGCGGGCUCCCCAUUCGGCCCGUCUUGAAACACGGACCAAGGAGUCUGACAUGUGUGCGAGUCAACGGGCCAGAAAACCCGUGAGGCGCAAGGAAGCUGACUGGCGGGAUCCCCUUGAGGGUUGCACCGCCGACCGACCUUGAUCUUCUGAGAAGGGUUCGAGUGUGAGCAUGCCUGUCGGGACCCGAAAGAUGGUGAACUAUGCCUGAGCGG
rnacentral:rRNA from 1 species